rnacentral:lncRNA from 13 species
AUGAAGUUGAGACUAGGUCAGGUUGUUAUGACAAGGUUGAUACCAGGUCAGGUUGUUAUGAUGAGGUUGAUACUAGGUCAGGUUGUUAUGAUGAGGUUGAUACUAGGUCAGGUUGUUAUGAGGAGGUUGACACUUGGUCUAGGUUGUUAUGACGAGGUUGAGACUAGGUCAGGUUGUUAUGAUGAGGUUGAUACUAGGUCAGGUUGUUAUGACGAGGUUGAUACUAGGUCAGGUUGUUAUGAUGAGGUUGAUACUAGGUCAGGUUGUUAUGACAAGGUUGAGACUAGGUCAGGUUGUUAUGAUGAGGUUGAUACUAGGUCAGGUUGUUAUGACAAGGUUGAGACUAGGUCAGGUUGUGUAACAAAGACAAGCUCUAUAGCCAAAUGAAGUGGCUAGAAAGUACUCUACUUGGGCUGAGUUCAGUUAGUGUGUCAGUGACAGACGGAGUAGAGACAGCUUUAGAUCAGAUCCCAAAAAUAAAACCAGACCUUAUUUAGUCUUACUUGAGCUAUUGUUAGAUAUAGUGGUGGUAGCCUGAUAGUGGUAGCAAAGACCAGAAAUUAACAGAUUAAAUACCUAACAUUAGAAACAAUUUUGAAUCUAUAGAAAAAGAGAUAAGAUAACAAUAUCUGACCAAAAGCUUCUGUUACUGAUCUACAGGUUUUCCUGUUUGACUAAAAUUUGAAUCAAUAAGACAGCAACCAAUCAGAACAGGCCAUCAUGAUUACCUCAGCGCUCUGUUUGAUCUGUUAUCAGAAUCACAAACGGCAACGGACUCUGUCAAUGUUUUGACUGAUGCAGUCUUGUUGGCUCAGGGAGUUGCUUCAGAAAAAAUAAUGAACUAGUAAUUGUAACACAGUAAUGACCUGGAUAGAUUAUUACGUUGAAUCCUCGCAGAUCUGUUUUUCUAGUGGAGAAAUAGAACAUCUAGAUAGGACACACUGCCCUGUUAAGUGAUGCAUAAUUAAUGUCUCUGAAUCGUCAGCGCAACAGAUCUAGAAUUAGCGCAUUUACGUUAUGUAACAUCUCGAUGAGUCAACUGAACUGCUUAUUUAGCAACACCACCGACCGAUGUUGGUGACUUGUGAGAAAAGGGGAUGUUGAGCAAUGUUUCCCGUCGGUAGGGGCACAGAAUGCACUCGAUACAUACUAACUAACUGUGGUUGUGUAAUACCUGGCAGGCUCUCUAGCUGGCAUUUUAUAAAGGAAAAGAGACCUUGGCUCUCUCCUCUGGUGCCGUUGGGGAAUCACAGCCAGUUGAAUAACAAGUCAUAUGUCAGCUUCAGGACAUCAGCCCACUGUUAUGACACAGCAAUAAGUCACAAGUUAGUGAUUCUUUGAGUUGACCUCUUUGAUGGAUUAUUGUAGACAAUUGUGCCAUAAGAGACCAGUGUGACCUCAUAGCUACAUUUAAAAAAUAUCCCGCCUGGCAACUGAUAAAGGUUAUAGAGGGACAUUAUUAGAGGNNNNNNNNNNUCUCACACUCUAGUCAGUAAUCACAUAAUGGGUGAGAGGCUUUUGCUCCUCAACAUUUUGCGGAAAACUUUUGGGUUCAGUUUAUAUAAUAGUGUGGCUACAGUGUGUCAUCUGUCUCUUGAUAAACUAAUAUGCCUAACACAGUUAUAAUGUAAUACACUAUAGGCCCAGGCUUCCUGUUAUGGAAAUAUCCAUGUUAACUAAUUUGGAAAUAGUAUAAAUCUCGUCUCUAAAUAGAUGAACCUUUUACUGCAGUGGGUUAAAUCAGGGUCACACAUGGUGUUUCUUUUCUUGAAACAAAAGUACACACCUCACACACAUGGUUAUGGGCUCAAAAACAAGAAGACACCUGUACCAUGUCAGACACACAGUUGAAAUGUAUUACAUUUGGAGUUUGCAUCCCAAUAUUACAUAUCACAGAAGACUGAAACAUGACAAAAACCGUUUGACAUAGAAACACCGGAUUUUCGGCUGCGUUUAAAAAAUAAUGUUUAUGAACUAUGAAAAAUAUGAAUAACAUUCCACCCAUGACGCCACUAAGGUCAUUUGACUGCAGGAAAGGGCUACUACAUAUAAUUCACACAUCUUACAAAGUUACAUAAUAUAUAUUUUUACAGUAGGUUUAGGCUGUUAUGGAAAUGUCCACACAAUCAAUCUCAUGAGAGAAUAAACUAAUUUGUCACAGUUUAUAUUUAUAAUCACUGCAUCAGCUAUAAUAUAAAGCUGUGUCUCUUUGUAAAGAAAUACAUCUACAGAAUGAGACUGUCCACAGAGCCCUGUAAUCAGGAGUUAUUACUGUAAACUCAUUGGUCUCAGGUCAGGUUGUACAAGGUAUGUCUCUUGAUAAAAACUAAUAUGUCUAGUAAAGUCCUAUAUAUCUACACCUACUUAUACACAUACACCCUAUAUAAUGUACUGCAUACAUACAUAUGUGGUGUAUGUGGUAUAUGUCGUGUAUAUACUGUACAG